CCUACGGGAGGCAGCAGUAAGGAAUCUUCCACAAUGGACGAAAGUCUGAUGGAGCAACGCCGCGUGCAGGAUGAAGGCUUUCGGGUCGUAAACUGCUUUUAUAUGGGAAGAUUAUGACGGUACCAUAUGAAUAAGGACCGGCUAACUACGUGCCAGCAGCCGCGGUAAUACGUAGGGUCCAAGCGAUAUCCGGAAUUACUGGGCGUAAAGCGUGUGUAGGUGGAUUAAUAAGUGUGAUGCGAAAUCCGGCGGCUCAACCGUUUGGACUGUGUCGCAUACUGUUAGUCUAGAGGACGGCAGAGGUAAGUGGAAUUACGGGUGUAGCAGUGAAAUGCGUAGAUAUCCGUAGGAACACCAAUGGCGAAGGCAGCUUACUGGGCCACACCUGACACUGAGACACGAAAGCGUGGGGAGCGAACAGGAUUAGAUACCCCUGGUAGUCCACGCCGUAACGAUGCAUACUAUUAGUAGUAGGGUAGUACGUACCCCGUCGUGCUGAGAAGACUAACGACGAUAAGUAUAGCCGCCGUCGGGGAGGUACGAGCGCGAGACGUUAAACCUAACAAAUAGAAGUUAGUACGGCGUGAGACGUGCCGACGGACGACCGACGACGGGAGGUUAGG
rnacentral:rRNA from 1 species